UAUUUUGAUUUUUUAUUCCCAUCCAUUCUAAUUUCAAUUUUGAUUCUGGUCGCAAACCAAAUGCACCUUGGGAUUUAAAUACCGAGAGAGAUUUGGGAAUGGGUUUUGGAGGAUUUAGGCAUUUCAACUCUACCUUAGAAUUGGAAUAAAAAUGGAACACCCCCAAACAAAUUGCUGGAAUGAAAGUUACUCAUUCCCAUUUCUAUUCCAGAGCCCAAUUGCCCCUAACCUAACAUGCCC
rnacentral:lncRNA from 1 species